GGGACAUGAAUUUUUAACAUGCUCCGAGUUAUUAUUAAUACUGGAGACGUAUGCAUACUCAGAGCUGCUAAUAAUAAUUUUAUUUUUUACCAUAAUUAUAAUAUUCUAAAGUUCGCUAUUCUCUGGUCCUAUUCAGUGGUAUAUGGGGGACAAUCUUUUAUACGCCUUUUCACUUCCUGGUACUUUACAAAACGACUAGCCAUCUCCACAAAAAGAGAUCAAACACAUACACCAGAGUUAGUGGACUACUAUAAAAUAAACCUUUAUACAGUGCAUUUGGAAAGUAUUCAGACCCCUUUACUUUUUCCACAUUUUGUUACGUUACAGCCUUAUUCUAGAAUGGAAUAAAUGGUUUUUUUCCCCCCAUCACUCUACACACGAUACCUCAUAAUGACAAAGCAAAAACAGGUUUGUAGAAUAUGUUUGCAAAUAUAUAUAAAAAACAGAAACCGACCAUUUAAAUAAGUAUUCAGACCCUUUACUAAGUACUUUGUUGAAGCACCUUUGGCAGCAAUUACAGCCUCGAGUCUUCUUGGGUAUGACACUACAAGCUUGGCACACCUGUAUUUGGGGAGUUUCUCCCAUUCUUCUCUGCAGAUUCAAGGACAUUCAGAGACUUGUUCCGAAGCCACUCCUGCGUUGUCUUGACUGUUUACUGAAAGUCGUUGUCCUGUUGGAAGGUGAAGCUUUGCCCCAGUCUGAAGUCUUCAUCAAGGAUCUCUCUGUACUUUUCUCCGUUCAUUUUUCCCUCGAUCCUGACUAGUCUCCCAGUCCCUGCCUCUGAAAUACAUUUCCACAGCAUGAUGCUGCCACCACGCAUCACCGUAGGGAUGGUGCCAGGUUUCCUCCAGAUGUGAUGCUUGGCAUUCAUGCCAAAGAGUUCAAUCUUGGUUUCAUCAGACCAGAGAAUCUUGUUUCUCAUGGUCUGAGAGUCCUUUAGGUGUCUUUUGGAAAACUCCAAGCAGGCUGUCAUGUGCCUUUUACUGAGGAGUAGCUUCCAUCUGGCCACUCUACCAUAAAGGCCUAAUUGGUGGAGUCCUGUAGAGAUGAUUUUCCUUCUGAAAUGUUUUCCCAUCUCCACAGAGGAACUCUGGAGCUCUGUCACGGUGACCAUCGGCUUCUUGGCCACCUCCCUGACCAAGGCCCUUCUCUGAAACAGAGAGGUGCGGGGUGGAGGGGUGCCAUAAUCAACAUCAAGGUCUUCAGAGCCCGGGGAACAGUGUGCAAACGGCUUUGUUCAGGGGCAGAAUGACAGAUUUUUACCUUGUCAGCUCGGAGAUUCGAUCCAGCAACCUUUUGGUUACUGGCCCAACACUCUAACCACUAGGCUACUUGCCAAAUGAUGGAGGCCACUGUGUUCUUGGGGACCUUCAAUGCUGCAGAUAUUUGUUAGUACCCUUCCCCAGAUCUGUGCCUCAACACAAUCCUGUCUCGGAGCUCUAUGGACAAUCCCUUCGACCUCAUGGCUUGGUCUUUGCUCUUACAUGCACUUUCAACUGUGGGACCUUAUAUGGACAGGCGUGUGCCUUUCCAAAUCAUGUCCAAUCAAUUGAAUUUACCACAGGUGGACUCCAAUCAAGUUGUAGAAACAUCUCAAGGAUGAUCAAUGGAAACAGGAUGCAGCUGAGCUCAGUUUUGGUCUCAGACUGUAGCAAAGGGUCUGAAUACUUAUGUAAAUAAGGUAUUUCUGUUUUUUAAAUAGAAUAUAUUUGCAAAAAAUUCUAAAAACAGUUUUCGCUUUGUUAUUAUGGGGUAUUGUGUGUAGAUUGAUUAAAUUAUUUAUUUAUUUAUUUAAUCGAUUUUAGAAUAAGGUUGUAACGUAACAAAAUGUGAAAUAAUUUGAAUACCAUCUGAGUCUGAAUACUUUCCAAAUGCACUGUAUGGUUAAAAAAACUGAAUAGACUAAUCUUGAUGACGUUUGAAAAAUCUGCCAUGUACAAAUUCCCAAUAACUGUUUACUGUGAUUUUCUCAAUGCCUGUUGCUCAAAGAGCUCCGGUCCAAACUCUAGACACAGCGAAAGAAAUACAGAAAACUACCGGUACAUGGAAAAGUUGUUUGUUCUGUAACAGCACCCUAAGUUGUUACCUCCAGGAAGGUCGAGCCUGGCCUGAGGAAGACUGAACCAAACCAUCACUCCCGAAAGUCACAGAGGAACUGGGACCCUGGCUCUGGUCUGAUCUGACAAGCUAUACCUAGUUUGGAGAAGCAGAUAUACAGAGCUACACAUCACAGACUAAUGUACAGCCCCAACAACAACCAUCCUAUGAGAAGUGUUGAAGUGUCCAGACAGACAGUUAUUCGUCCAUGUAUUUCUGAUUACCCUUCUGAUUCUGAACUAUGAACUGCACAUGUCCAUCUGCAAACGACUGGUCCAGCUCCCAAUGACUGGCCAGCUCUGCAGUUCCAGUAACUGACAACAACCCAGAUGAACGUCUCUUCUGACUGUCACUGACUUUACAUCCAUGGUAUAACUGCUGUACUAUACUGUAUUAUCUCCUCACUGUGGUACAGAAGGAAAUUCUCCUGUAACACAAAGAAGCAGCAUCAAUGUAUGGUGGAGGAUCUCUACCUUAUAGUCAAGCUUUUCUUUCUUAAGUGGUACUAUAGAGUUGCAAAAUGAGGUGAAUUUGGAUUUAGUGGGCCCGGAAGAAUGGACUACAAAACAUGAUUCAUUUCACUUUGUCUUCGAAUAGUGCCGUAGGGGUUCAAUCUUUUUUCUAUUUGUUAAUAAAAAGGAGAGGAAAAAAAUGUUGCAAAAACCUUGAUGUUAAUAAAG
rnacentral:lncRNA from 1 species